AGGAUUACUACCUAUUUAGAUUACGGAAGUUGUUUUCCUUUAAUAUGCAUUUAUAAUGACUUUAAUUUGUUCUAAUUUGGCCUUUGACAUAAUUCAGUGUGUCAUUAAUUUGCAGACACUACAAAAUCAUUUUUUCGGGUUUCUUAAAAGAUGCAGAGAUAAUAGUGUUUCCCUCUAUUUCGUGAAUUGUUUUUCCUAUUCUCAACUUUUUACAUUUUCUGCACUUCUUUACUCUAAUAUGCAAAGUGACAAUUCCCAAGUCUGUAGGCUGCUUUCCUUUGUGGCCUCCACUUUGAAUGAAUAGUCAAAAUUUUGAUUUUUGCUCCCUAACCAUAUCUAUUUUGUCCUUUCUCCAGCUUUGUGUAUGGAACUCUGAUGGA
rnacentral:misc_RNA from 1 species